rnacentral:rRNA from 1 species
GCAGUCGAACGAUGAUGCCCAGCUUGCUGGGUGGAUUAGUGGCGAACGGGUGAGUAACACGUGGGUGAUCUGCCCUGCACUUCGGGAUAAGCCUGGGAAACUGGGUCUAAUACCGGAUAGGACCUUCCGCCGCAUGGUGGGGGGUGGAAAGGUUUUCCGGUGCAGGAUGGGCCCGCGGCCUAUCAGCUUGUUGGUGGGGUAACGGCCCACCAAGGCGACGACGGGUAGCCGGCCUGAGAGGGCGACCGGCCACACUGGGACUGAGACACGGCCCAGACUCCUACGGGAGGCAGCAGUGGGGAAUAUUGCACAAUGGGCGCAAGCCUGAUGCAGCGACGCCGCGUGAGGGAUGACGGCCUUCGGGUUGUAAACCUCUUUCAGUACCGACGAAGCGCAAGUGACGGUAGGUACAGAAGAAGCACCGGCCAACUACGUGCCAGCAGCCGCGGUAAUACGUAGGGUGCGAGCGUUGUCCGGAAUUACUGGGCGUAAAGAGCUCGUAGGCGGUUUGUCGCGUCGUCUGUGAAAACCCGCAGCUCAACUGCGGGCUUGCAGGCGAUACGGGCAGACUUGAGUACUGCAGGGGAGACUGGAAUUCCUGGUGUAGCGGUGAAAUGCGCAGAUAUCAGGAGGAACACCGGUGGCGAAGGCGGGUCUCUGGGCAGUAACUGACGCUGAGGAGCGAAAGCGUGGGUAGCGAACAGGAUUAGAUACCCUGGUAGUCCACGCCGUAAACGGUGGGCGCUAGGUGUGGGUUUCCUUCCACGGGAUCCGUGCCGUAGCUAACGCAUUAAGCGCCCCGCCUGGGGAGUACGGCCGCAAGGCUAAAACUCAAAGGAAUUG